GAUGAACGCUGGCGGCGUGCUUAACACAUGCAAGUCGAACGGAAAGGCCUCUGCUUGCAGGGGUACUCGAGUGGCGAACGGGUGAGUAACACGUGGGUGAUCUGCCCUGCACUUCGGGAUAAGCCUGGGAAACUGGGUCUAAUACCGGAUAGGACAAUGGUUUGGAUGCUGUUGUGGAAAGUUUUUCGGUGUGGGAUGAGCUCGCGGCCUAUCAGCUUGUUGGUGGGGUAAUGGCCUACCAAGGCGUCGACGGGUAGCCGGCCUGAGAGGGUGUACGGCCACAUUGGGACUGAGAUACGGCCCAGACUCCUACGGGAGGCAGCAGUGGGGAAUAUUGCACAAAGGGCGCAAGCCUGAUGCAGCGACGCCGCGUGGGGGAUGACGGCCUUCGGGUUGUAAACUCCUUUCGCUAGGGACGAAGCGUUUUUGUGACGGUACCUGGAGAAGAAGCACCGGCUAACUACGUG
rnacentral:rRNA from 1 species